CUGGAGGUGGAAGCUCCCAAGGUGGAGCCGGAACUGUCAGAUGAGAAACCCGGCGUGGUCAUCGGCUGUGUCCUAGCAACCACUUCUGAUUUCCAGCACCCCAUGAACAUUCAGGUCCUGGGAGAUGUGUGCAGAGAUGUGGCAGAGGAGAACCGGGAUGUCAGUCAGGACCUUCUCAAAAAGCAUAAGAAAGGAGGCAUCCGUGGAUUCUUCCGGCGUGUUCGUAAACUGUUUUCCUGCUGUUGCUCCGGCCUCCCAACAGAGGAAGACUAGCACCCUCACAUGUGGACCAUCUGAGUCAUCACACCA